rnacentral:lncRNA from 1 species
AACCUCGCCGCCUCACCGGAUGACCACACCAUCUCCGCCCUUCUCCUCCUCAGCCGCCGCCCCUCUCUUUUUCCACCAGCAUCGCCGCCCCUUGUUACAUACUACCAGAUCUGUCCAUCAUGUUAAUCGUCUUCUCACUCGCCGACGAGAUCCGCUUACCCACGAAGUUGGUAUGUUUUUCCAAAACGCAGAACGAUAUGUCUCCUUCCCUCUAUAUUUUUUUGGCAAAUAGAUAAGUUCACCGCGGUUCUCUUUCUCGUCGGCGGUUGUUGAUUAUAAGGUAUGCGAAAAUACUUCGUCGCUUUAGGUUUUUUUAUUUUCAUCCCAAGAUUUCAG